UACGUAGGCAGCGAGCGUUGUUCGGAGUUACUGGGCGUAAAGCGUGCGUAGGCGGUGUCUUAAGUUUGUUGUGAAAUCUCCCGGCUUAACCGGGAGGGUGCGGCGAAUACUGAGAUGCUGGAGUGCCGGAGAGGUAAGCGGAAUUCCUGGUGUAGCGGUGAAAUGCGCAGAUAUCAGGAAGAACACCUAUGGCGAAAGCAGCUCUCUGGGACGGUACUGACGCUGAGACGCGAAAGCGUGGGGAGCGAACAGG
rnacentral:rRNA from 1 species